GAUGAACGCUAGCGGCAGGCCUAAUACAUGCAAGUCGAACGGUGUCUUCGGAUGCUGACGAGUGGCGAACGGGUGAGUAAUACAUCGGAACGUGCCCGAGAGUGGGGGAUAACGAGGCGAAAGCUUUGCUAAUACCGCAUACGAUCUCAGGAUGAAAGCAGGGGACCGCAAGGCCUUGCGCUCACGGAGCGGCCGAUGGCAGAUUAGGUAGUUGGUGGGAUAAAAGCUUACCAAGCCGACGAUCUGUAGCUGGUCUGAGAGGACGACCAGCCACACUGGGACUGAGACACGGCCCAGACUCCUACGGGAGGCAGCAGUGUGGAAUUUUGGACAAUGGGCGCAAGCCUGAUCCAGCCAUGCCGCGUGCAGGAUGAAGGCCUUCGGGUUGUAAACUGCUUUUGUACGGAACGAAAAGACUCUGGUUAAUACCUGGGGUCCAUGACGGUACCGUAAGAAUAAGCACCGGCUAACUACGUGCCAGCCGCCGCAGUAACAC
rnacentral:rRNA from 1 species